rnacentral:SRP_RNA from 1 species
ACCGGGCACGGUGGCACAUGCAGCUACUCGGGAGGCUGAGGUGGGAGGAUCACUUGAGUCCAGGAGUUCUGGGCUGCCGUGCGCUAUGCCGAUCAGGUGUCCACGCUAAGUUCGGCAUCAGUAUUGUGACCUUCUGGGAGCAGGGGCCCACCAGGUUGCCUAAGGAGGGGUGAACCAGCCCAGGUCAGAAAUGGAGCAGGUCAAAACUCCCGUGCUGAUCAGAAACUCCCUAAACUUACUUCAUUCAUAGUUCCCACAGGAGGUGACCUUUGGUCUUCCUCCUU